AACCAACACAGUAUACACACCAAGUUAAUUAAUAUAAUCAAUUAUUAUACUAUCUAACAACCAAUCAAUUAAUUAACACUUCAAAUAAAUAAAAUAAAAUAAAAUAAUAAUAAUAUAAGAAAUAAAUACUAAAAUCGGGUUGUUACAACUCUCCCCCACUUAAAAGAUUUUCGGCCUCGAAAAAUACCUCAAACGAACAACUCCGGAUACGAUUCCUUCAUUUUAU
rnacentral:lncRNA from 1 species